UUUGAGUACGAGCGUAGCUGUUGGGAACCCGAAAGAUGGUGAACUAUGCCUGAAUAGGGUGAAGCCAGAGGAAACUCUGGUGGAGGCUCGCAGCGGUUCUGACGUGCAAAUCGAUCGUCAAAUUUGGGCAUAGGGGCGAAAGACUAAUCGAACCAUCUAGUAGCUGGUUCCUGCCGAAGUUUCCCUCAGGAUAGCAGUAACGCGUUCAGUUUUAUGCGGUAAAGCGAAUGAUUAGAGGCCUUGGGGGUGAAACACCCUUAACCUAUUCUCAAACUUUCAAUAUGUAAGAAGUCCCUGUUGCUUCGGUGAACGGGGACGCGCGAAUGCACCGUUACUAGUGGGCCAUUUUUGGUAAGCAGAACUGGCGAUGCGGGAUGAACCGAACGCGGGGUUAAGGUGCCGGAAUGCACGCUCAUCAGACACCACAAAAGAUGUCAAUUCAUCCCGCGACGGUGGCCAUGGAAGCCGGAACCCGCUAAGGAGUGCGUAACAGCUCACCGGCCGAAUGUAUUUGUUCCUCUCUCGCACAAAUGGAUCCGCAUACAGCGUCUACCCA
rnacentral:rRNA from 1 species